rnacentral:rRNA from 1 species
CCUACGGGUGGCAGCAGUGGGGAAUAUUGGACAAUGGUGGGAACCCUGAUCCAGCGACGCCGCGUGAGUGAAGAAGUAUUUCGGUAUGUAAAGCUCUAUCAGCCGGGAAGCAAGAACUGACGGUACCUGACUAAGAAGCCUCGGCUAACUACGGGCCAGCAGCCGCGGUAAUACGUAGGGGGCAAGCGUUAUCCGUAUUUACUGGGUGUAAGGGGAGCGUAGACGGUUACGCAAGUCAGGCGUGAAAGGCGGGGGCCCAACCCCCGGACUGCUUUGGAAACUGGAUAACUGGAGUGCAGGAGAGGUAAGUGGAAUGCCCAGUGUAGCGGUGAAAUGCGUAGAUAUUGGGCGGAACACCAGUGGCGAAGGCGGCUUACUGGCCUGUAACUGACGUUGAGGCUCGAAAGCGUGGGGAGCGAACAGGAUUAGAUACCCCUGUAGUC